rnacentral:rRNA from 1 species
GACGAACGCUGGCGGCGUGCCUAAUACAUGCAAGUCGAACGCAGUGGGGACGGGUGAGUAACACGUGGGUAACCUCCCAUCAGAGGGGAUAACACUUGGCAACAGGUGCUAAACCGAUACUGAUGGAUGAACCCGCGGUGCAUUAGCUAGUUGGUGAGGUAACGGCUCAACAAGGCAACGAUGCAUAGCCGACCGGAGAGGGAUAUCGGCCACACGGGGACAGAGACACGGCACAGACUGCUACGGGAGGCAGCAGGAGGGAAUCUUCGGCAAUGGACGAAAGUCUGACCGAGCAACGCCGCGUGAGUGAAGAAGGUUUUCGGAUCGUAGAACUCUGUUGUUAGAGAAGCGGUAUCUAACCAGAAAGCCACGGCUAACGACGUGCCAGCGGCCGCGGUAAUAC